AAAAACAUAGCCCUAAGAAUUGAUUUAGGGUGAAGCCUGCUCAAUGAAAGUUUUUAAAUAGCCGCGGUACCUUGACCGUGCUAAGGUAGCAUAAUCAGUUGACUUUUAAAUGAAGUCUGGAAUGAAAGGAAUAACGGGGUUUAGCUGUUUCAACACUCCUCUUUCGAAUUUACUAAUUAGGUGAAAAGGCCUAAAUAAGAUAAAAGACGAGAAGACCCUUAGAGUUUUUAUAUAUUUUUGUUGGGGCGACAUGGAAUCAUUUAAACAUUUCAGAAGUUAUGUGACGAAUACUAUUAUGAACAGAUAAACUACCUGAGGGAUAACAGCAUAAUCCUUUUUGGGUUUGUGACCUCGAUGUUGGACUAGGAAGCCUGUAAGCUAGCCGCUUACAAGGGGGAUUCUGUUCGAAUUUUUACUCCUACGUGAUCUGAG
rnacentral:rRNA from 1 species